GAGAGGAGAGGAAGCUGGAGCUGCAUACACUUGGAGCCAACUAGUGUAAUUGGGAACCACAGAAGAGAUCUGAACCAAGCAGUGACAAGAUGUGACCUCCUUCCAGCUUCUGUGAAGAGAACAGACUGAAGGAAAAAGAGCAUCAGGAGGCUACAGCAGAGAUCCAGGCACAAAGGCUGUGGACAAAACUCAUCUUGCUACCUGUCCUGGAGGAGCUCCCAGCAU